UCCACAGGGAACUCUGUUCACACGUUGUUCUCCUGAGGACCCAACCUGCAGCCAAAGGCACAAAACCUCAACUUCCACCUACAAUAUGCAACUCAAGGCUCCUCUUGUUUCAAAUCCUUUAGGACCUAUAGGGCUAUUCUGAGCUAGGGUCCCUCAUAGUUAGGUCCCCUCAUAGCUAGGGCCCCUCAUUGGUGAUGCCCAAGAGACUGAAAUGCAGGUGACCGGGGUUCAUUCAGAAUACAACUCUUCUGAAAUGACGUUGAGGUAAUCGUAUGAAACACUCUUUCCCCCUCAAUGUUCCCUGAUGGAGAUCUAGUGAUAGGUUCCAGGAAUAGCAACAACCACCAGCCCGGGGCUCCAGGGUUUGACCAGCAGAUUGUGAUGUCAUUACCUCUCGGGGCCAGGGUCGAUCUAAACAGACCAGUUAGUUUUUCCUGGACAUAGCUGUUUCUAUUGUCUUGGAAAACAGCAUUCAGUUCUCCCAAGAACCAUACAAUGAUGUAUAAAAUACUACACCAGAUGUGUCCUCCUUUUCUAUUUUAAACAAAAAUGGAACCUAAAAAAAAAGACCCUUUCCACUGUCUAUGUGGCAGCCAUGUUGGAGCUCAGAGACAUGGCUUUCUGACUCCGACAUGUGACACAUGGCUGAUAUUUUUUUAGUCGGAUUGUUAAGCUUUGUUAUCUUCUGUACUGAGAUGAAUAUAAAAAUAAGUCACUGAUUAUUGGAAGUUAUUGAAAUGAUACCAGAUAACUUAUAAUUUCAUUGGGCUUAUUUUAUUCCACCUAACAUUUUACCUUUUCCUUAGCUUAGUCUUUUUUUAAUGAAUGCUUGUAGCGUUUAUUAGUUUCAUGUUCAACCAGUUGUUCGUGUGUCUUAUUUUAUUUUAUGUGCAUAUGAUAUAUCCUUUUGUGAAGGACUAUUUUUGUGUUCUAAAGGAAAUAAAUCUCUAGGACUUAUAAAGAUAGAAGAUUGCGUCUAGUUAGCACUAGUCUGAGGCAAGGGGGCAUGGUUCCAUUACUUAACCACAUUUUUUGUAAAUACACCCAGCUCACAUCUCACCAACAUGGCUGCCAUGUCCCAUCCUAAACAUGUCAUAGUUCAUUGUUUUUUGUUUUCUACACUGCUCUGCCCCAGUGCAUAUUUUUGUCAUGUUCAAGCUUUUAAUAAAAAAAAAAGUACAAAGAUUGAGCUCUAAGUGCCUGGUGUCCUCCUGUCCCUUCUCUCUCUAG
ensembl:lncRNA